ensembl:lncRNA
AGUAAGUUUGUGAAAGGAAGCCAGCAGGAUCAGGAAGCCACCGGAAAGAAGAAAGCCAUUACUUUAUCUCCCGGAGGACAGCAAAGGACCAGUGUUACCCUGAAACAGGCUAGAAAUGGAAGAACAAAAUAAGUAUCUACAAAAUCCUACCCUGAAAUUCAGAUAAUGGACUCAUAGAAGGGCUUGGGUUGGAAGAGAGCAGGUUUCCCAGAGCUCCAUCCAACUUGGCAGGCUUUAUCUUACAUGCAUAUUGCAAACAGCUUCUUAAGCCGCUGCUGAGAUGGAGUAAGAAAUCUGUUGUUGCCAAGAGUGACUUCAAGGGGUCUUUCCUGGACAUGUUGAGUAGCCAGGAGCAGAGAGGAUGACAUAACUUGGUAUUUCGACACAAUUCCUACUGGCAGAGACUCAGCAAUAACUUACAUUAAAAAAAAAGAAAGAAAGAAAGAAAAAAAAGAUGCUGGCGACCUUAAUCUUGUUAGAUAUCAGUUACAAGAACAGAACAGAGCAUCUACCUAUUAUUAGCAUAUCUGAACACUGAAGCAGUCCAUUUUACCAAAUUUGAGGCAGUUGAUGAUAACUGGUAAAGCAAAUGUGCCUAAUGUGGAGUAUUUUAAUAAAAGCCAGGAAAUAUUGGAUAUCCCAUAAACCACGGUUCUAAGGACAUGCAAAACAGGUUAUUCCGGGUAGGAGGCCAACCUAGUACUACUGAACCCCUCCUGAAACAGAAGGAAAGCUAAUACUGAGGGGAGUGGAUUACCGGUUCAUGUAGAUACAGAUGGCUCUGGCAAAAACAUGAAUUGCAGUGCAGAGAUGGCCAAUAGAUAUUUAUGUGCUGUAUGCGGAGAGAAGCAUGAGAAUGUAUGCAUCCCAGAUGCUGAUGCUGCUCUAAUAGCAAAUUUACCAUGUACUGCAACAAAAGACAUAAAGGAACAUCUGCUGAAAUUAGACACUUUCAAAUCAACAGCCAAUGACAACUGAAAUGAAGUGCCCCAAGAAAGCCAACUGGGAGCUUUCAGAUCAGCUUAUGAUAUUUAACAAGCCCUGGGAAACUGAAGAAAUUACAAAUGAUUGGAUAACCACAAAUAUGGUUCCAGCAUUUAAACAAGACAAAAUGAAUAAUUCUGUGGAGUACAAAUAAGUUACCCUGACUUAUAGAAAAGCUAAAGCAAGGAAGGGUAGAGACAUUCAUAGUAUGUGAAAAUAAAGAUAAAACCUGGAAUUUAAAUAAGUCAACCUUGUUCACAGGCAAAAGUCUUGUAGGAAAUAAACAUGAGGUCUGUACUGACAGAAAUUCAAAUCUGGUUUCCAACAGGAAUGGUGGUGACUUAUAGUAUAUUUGGAAGGUAGUGCAUUCUGAUUUUUACUUUUUAAGUACUUUGCUUACUACUAUAUGACAUUUUCAAUAUUUUAUUAUACACUAUCAGUGGGACAAAAAUCAAAUAACUCAAAAGCUGUUGGCAGAGCUCAACAUAUAAUUUACAGAGUUCAUAUAUGAAUGAAAAAUUAUUAAUAAGAAACAUUUCUGAACCAGUGUUAGCAUUUUUAUCUUAUCAAAUACAUAACAAAUGUAUAUACAACAAUGAAUAAAAAUAAAUAAUAAAAAUAAUAAUGAAUAAAAAUGUAGUGAC